UGGGGAAUAUUGGACAAUGGGCGAAAGCCUGAUCCAGCCAUGCCGCGUGUGUGAAGAAGGUCUUCGGAUUGUAAAGCACUUUAAGUUGGGAGGAAGGGCAGUAAGCGAAUACCUUGCUGUUUUGACGUUACCGACAGAAUAAGCACCGGCUAACUCUGUGCCAGCAGCCGCGGUAAUACAGAGGGUGCAAGCGUUAAUCGGAAUUACUGGGCGUAAAGCGCGCGUAGGUGGUUCGUUAAGUUGAAUGUGAAAGCCCCGGGCUCAACCUGGGAACUGCAUCCAAAACUGGCGAGCUAGAGUAGGGCAGAGGGUAGUGGAAUUUCCUGUGUAGCGGUGAAAUGAGUAGAUAUGGGAAGGAACACCAGUGGCGAAGGCGACCACCUGGGCUCAUACUGACACUGAGGUGCGAAAGCGUGGGGAGCAAACAGG
rnacentral:rRNA from 1 species